rnacentral:rRNA from 1 species
GAAAUCUAGCACUUUCAGUGUUCGAGUUGUAAUUUGAAGAAGGUAACUUUGGUUUUGGCUCUUGUCUAUGUUCCUUGGAACAGGACGUCACAGAGGGUGAGAAUCCCGUGCGAUGAGAUGCCCAAUUCCAUGUAAAGUGCUUUCGAAGAGUCGAGUUGUUUGGGAAUGCAGCUCUAAGUGGGUGGUAAAUUCCAUCUAAAGCUAAAUAUUGGCGAGAGACCGAUAGCGAACAAGUACAGUGAUGGAAAGAUGAAAAGAACUUUGAAAAGAGAGUGAAAAAGUACGUGAAAUUGUUGAAAGGGAAGGGCUUGAGAUCAGACUUGGUAUUUUGCGUUCCCUUCCUUUUUGGUUGGGUUCCUCGCAGUUUACUGGGCCAGCAUCGGUUUGGAUGGUAGGAUAAUGACAUUGGAAUGUAGCUUUACUUCGGUGAAGUGUUAUAGACUUUGUUGAUACUGCCUAUC